rnacentral:rRNA from 1 species
AUUGAACGCUGGCGGCGUGCUUAACACAUGCAAGUCGUGCGGUAACAGGCGUAGCAAUACGUGCUGACGAGCGGCGAACGGGUGCGUAAUACAUGGGAAUCUGCCUUUUAGUGGGGAAUAACCCGGCGAAAGCCGGGCUAAUGCCGCAUAAGAUCUUCGGAUGAAAGCGGGGAGUCGUAAGACCUCGCGCUGAUAGAUGAGCCCACUGCCGGAUUAGUCAGUUGGUUGGAGGUAACGGACUCACCAAGGCGACGAUCCGUAGCUGGUCUGAGAGGAC